GACGAACGCUGGCGGCGUGCUUAACACAUGCAAGUCGAACGGAAAGGCCCUUCGGGGUACUCGAGUGGCGAACGGGUGAGUAACACGUGGGUGAUCUGCCCUGCACUUUGGGAUAAGCCUGGGAAACUGGGUCUAAUACCGAAUAGGAUCAUGGCCUUCAUGGGUUGUGGUGGAAAGCUUUUGCGGUGUGGGAUGGGCCCGCGGCCUAUCAGCUUGUUGGUGGGGUAAUGGCCUACCAAGGCGACGACGGGUAGCCGGCCUGAGAGGGUGACCGGCCACACUGGGACUGAGAUACGGCCCAGACUCCUACGGGAGGCAGCAGUGGGGAAUAUUGCACAAUGGGCGCAAGCCUGAUGCAGCGACGCCGCGUGAGGGAUGACGGCCUUCGGGUUGUAAACCUCUUUCAGCACAGACGAAGCGCAAGUGACGGUAUGUGCAGAAGAAGGACCGGCCAACUACGUGCCAGCAGCCGCCGUAAAAC
rnacentral:rRNA from 1 species